ensembl:snoRNA
GAGCCAGCUAACGAAUCUGCUUACCCGCAUGGGUUUCUGCAGAAUCUGGAGAAAGCUGGCAAUAGCCAAGCCAUGUUACGAGCCUUACGGACAUUGAAGUCACUAAGGUCCCUGAAAAUGGCUAUAAGG